CUCUCUGUAGCUCAGUUGGUAGAGCGGUAGACUGUAAUUGUAACUAUUUAUCUAUAGGUCACCGGUUCGACUCCGGUCGGGGAGA